ensembl:lncRNA
CCCUUUGCUACACCAGUCCACACAACCCUCAACCCCCCACGUGGAGUUCCCGUCCUCCAGUAUCCGGAUAUAGCCUAUAGGCCGCCUAUUUGUUUAACCACCCCUCUGUCAACACUGGCAGCAAAUCAGGGUUUGUGUCUGGUCUCCAACUUAGAGUGGCCUAUAGCUUAGCAGCAGAAACCUCUGUGUUGCUAUUCGGAGAGUACUGUAAGUGUGAAUAGGAGAGUACUGUACUGUAAGUGUGAAUAGGAGAGUACUGUAAGUGUGAAUAGGAGAGUACUGUACUGUAAGUGUGAAUAGGAGAGUACUGUAAGUGUGAAUGGGAGAGUACUGUAAGUGUGAAUAGGAGAGUACUGUAAGUGUGAAUAGGAGAGUACUGUAAGUGUGAAUAGGAGAGUACUGUAAGUGUGAAUAGGAGAGUACUGUACUGUAAGUGUGAAUAGGAGAGUACUGUAAGUGUGAAUGGGAGAGUACUGUAAGUGUGAAUAGGAGAGUACUGUAAGUGUGAAUGGGAGAGUACUGUAAGUGUGAAUGGGAGAGUACUGUAAGUGUGAAUAGGAGAGUACUGUAAGUGUGAAUGGGAGAGUACUGUACUGUAAGUGUGAAUAGGAGAGUACUGUACUGUAAGUGUGAAUGGGAGAGUACUGUACUGUAAGUGUGAAUAGGAGAGUACUGUAAGUGUGAAUAGGAGAGUACUGUAAGUGUGAAUGGGAGAGUACUGUAAGUGUGAAUAGGAGAGUACUGUACUGUAAGUGUGAAUAAGAGAGUACUGUAAGUGUGAAUAGGAGAGUACUGUAAGUGUGAAUAGGAGAGUACUGUA